rnacentral:ncRNA from 1 species
GGCUUGCCUAGCUCAUAUUAGUAGGCGCCAUCACGACUCCCGAAGGUGAGAAAUCCGGGUCGUGACAUGGUCGAUACACCAUCUUUACAAAACAAAAAGAAAAAAAAUUAAAUAAAAACAUAUAAAAUUUAUUUAUAUAGUUUAAGGCCUUUUCUUAAGGUUUGGCUUUAGGCCACCAAUAUCAUUGAGCCGCCCCUGGCUAAUACCAGGCUGAGGAGCAAAAGGAGGAAUUUGCCUGAUAAGGGACUCGCAUUCGAUUAGCUAGUGGUGAGGCAAUAACUUAUCAAGGCGAUGAUCAAUAGCUGGUCCUAGAGGAUAGUUAGCAAUACUGGGAUUGAGACACGACCCAAACUCCUACGAGAAACAGCAACGAAGAAUUUUUUGCAACGGGCAAAAGCCUAAUGGAGCAACGCC